rnacentral:rRNA from 1 species
AGCAGCCGCGGUAAUUCCAGCUCCAAUAGCGUAUAUUAAAGUUGUUGCAGUUAAAAAGCUCGUAGUUGAACUUCGGGAUCAAGGAAUCGGUCAUGCCUUGGUAUGUACUGGUUUUAUUGGUACUCACCUUCUAAAGAACCAUAAUGUCAUUUAUUUGAUGUUAUGGGGAAUUAGGACUGUUACCUUGAAAAAAUUAGAGUGUUUAAAGCAGGCUUACGCUUGAAUACAUCAGCAUGGAAUAAUGAAAUAGGACAUCCGAUUCUAUUUUGUUGGUUUCUAGGAUCGAUGUAAUGAUUAAUAGGGAUAGUUGGGGGCAUUAGUAUUCAAUUGUCAGAGGUGAAAUUCUUGGAUUUAUUGAAGACUAACUACUGCGAAGGCAUUUGCCAAGGAUGUUUUCAUUAAUCAAGAACGAAAGUUAGGGGAUCGAAGACGAUCAGAUACCGUCGUAGUCUUAACCAUAAACUAUGCCGACUAGGGAUCGGAUGAUGUUAAUUUUAUAAUGACUCAUUCGG